AGGGCACCACCAGGAGUGGAGCCUGCGGCUUAAUUUGACUCAACACGGGAAAACUCACCCGGCCCGGACACUGUAAGGAUGGACAGAUUAAAAGCUCUUUCUUGAUUCAGUGGGUGGUGGUGCAUGGCCGUUCUUAGUUGGUGGAGUGAUUUGUCUGGUUAAUUCCGAUAACGAACGAGACUCUCACCUGCUAAAUAGCACGUUGGUAUUGGUGUUCUUUGUGGAAUGCCCUAGCCGACGCUGGCUUCUUAGAGGGAUACGCAGUAUUCAAACUGCACGAAAUAGAGCAAUAACAGGUCUGUGAUGCCCUUAGAUGUCCGGGGCCGCACGCGCGCUACAAUGACAGUAGCAGAGAGUAUUGAAACCUGGUCCGAAAGGAUUGGGAAAUCUUGGCAUUGCUGUCUCCUCAGGGAUUGAGAUUUGUAAUUAUCUCUCAUGAACGAGGAAUUCCCACUAGGCGCAAGUCAUCAGCUUGCGUCGAUUACGUCCCUGCCCUUUGUACACACCGCCCGUCGCUAC
rnacentral:rRNA from 1 species